UUAAUUCCGUAAUUUGAAUAAUUAUUAUCGAAUUUUGUCUGUUUAUGAUUCAUAAAAGAUUUAUACUUUUGUAUUUUGUUUUGCAAGUUGGCAAAACUGCUGUUGAACAGCUGGACUGUUACUCUGUAUUCUAGACUGAAGGCUUCAUCAGUCGUCACUCACUACUACUUUUGGAUUUUGGCUUGGUCUGACUCAAAAACUUGAGAAAUGGUUUCUGCAUAUCGUUCAGUAUAUCUUCCAAUAUGAAUUAAUUUUGCCAAAAUAGGCUUAGGCCUUCUUCACUUUAUGUUUUGAUUGAGUCUUGUUUUUAAACCCAGAUGGGGUUUUUGAUUUAUGUUAAAUAUAAUUAUAUUGAAGAUGUCGUGAAACACUACCGGCUUGUACAAAAUAUCUAAUUACUGGACCAUGGAAUUUGAGUAACCUGGACUAAACAUCAUGAAGACACAACACUGUAUUGUAUCUACGACAUAUUUUUCUACUGAAUUCCAGUAAGCUGCAUCAUCAGAUUUCUACAUUCUCUUCAACUACAUAUUCUCUUCUCUUUGCAAAUUAAUAACUUGGAAAUUUUUCAUAAUGUCGAGGGAAAUAUAAAAGGGGUAGCGUUAUUUUCUAAAUUUAAAACUAUAUCAAUCUUUUGUAAUUCUGUACUUUGUAAUACUAUCUUAGUUUCUUCUCAAUUUUCAUAUUUGUUUCGAGGAAUAUAUAUUAUUUUCUUGACUCUCUCAAA